AACGAACGCUGGCGGCAUGCCUAACACAUGCAAGUCGAACGAAGUCUUCGGACUUAGUGGCGCACGGGUGCGUAACGCGUGGGAAUCUGCCCUUGGGUGCGGAAUAACUUCUCGAAAGGGAUGCUAAUACCGCAUAAUGUCGUAAGACCAAAGAUUUAUCGCCCAAGGAUGAGCCCGCGUAAGAUUAGCUAGUUGGUGGGGUAAAAGCCUACCAAGGCGACGAUCUUUAGCUGGUCUGAGAGGAUGAUCAGCCACACUGGGACUGAGACACGGCCCAGACUCCUACGGGAGGCAGCAGUGGGGAAUAUUGGGCAAUGGGCGAAAGCCUGAUCCAGCAAUGCCGCGUGCAGGAUGAAGGCCUUCGGGUCGUAAACUGCUUUUAUAAGUGAAGAAUAUGACGGUAACUUAUGAAUAAGCACCGGCUAACUACGUGCCAGCAGCCGCGGUAAU
rnacentral:rRNA from 1 species